GUUAGUCCUUGCAAAAUGGCCAUGGGCUGGAUGACAAGGAAAGAAGCAGCCAUUACAGGACACAGCAUCAGAGUCAAAGCUCUACACAAGGACAGUGGCUGUGAUGGUUAAAGGAAGGGCUGGAUGUGAAAAUAGCUGAUGGAGGAGUCAGAGAGCCUGGCAAGUGAUUGUUGAGAUGAAAAGAAAUGAAAAUGCCAAGAUCCCCAGCCUGUUACUGGAAGGAAAGUGACUCCAUUAAUCCCUUCAGAAGGAGCAGGUUCUGCUUAGAGGAUUGGUGUGAAAAUAAGGUUAUUAUUUGACAUAUUGAGUUGAAAACAUCUGCGGAACAUGAACAAAGAAAUGCCUUAAAGCCUGUAAUCCCAGCACUUUGGGAGGCCGAGGCAGGAGGAUCAUGAGGUCAGGAGAUCGAAACCAUCUUGGCUAACACAGUGAAACCCUGUCCCUACUAAAAAUACAAAAAAAAAAAUUAAUUAACCAGGCAUGGUGGUGGGUGCCUGUAGUCCCAGCUACUCAG
rnacentral:lncRNA from 10 species